AAUUCAUAUUGGCACCAAGGAGGAAUUAUGAGAAUUCUAGAAUGAUAGGAACUUUGUAAAGGAAGAGCAGCCCAGCUUCAGAUGAGAUUGGAGGGGUGGGCAAAUGGGCAUGUUUUUAACACGUAAAAAAGCUUGGUUUUAUCCCAAGAAUGAUGAGCAGUCUGUAAAGGGCUUAAUUACGGCAGGAAACACCAUAUUAUUAGUGUUUUAAGAAGGUGACACUGGCUAUUUGUUUAGGUGGCAUUUGUAUUGUAGUGGGUAACAGUGAAUGUGGAUUGCUUGGUUUACAGAACUGAAAGGCUUGGCCACUCAAAGGCCAUCUCAAAGACCCUAUCUAUGAGGAAGAAGAAAAGAAGUAGAAAGAGGAAGAGAAGAAGGAAAAAAAAUAAAGAAUAGGGAAGAGGAAGAAAAAGACAAAGAGACUCAAGCCCUAUCCUAAGUUUGUUUUGUUUUAUUUUCAAAGCAAUAUGUGAUAGCAGGUCUCAGAGUUAGGAGGAAGUGCCGUAUAAUGGAAAGAACACAGGCUAAGAAGCAAAGUU
rnacentral:lncRNA from 10 species